AAAUGUGCAACCUUGCCUUUGAACUAGGAAAAAAACAGUGGUUAAUUAGAAAAGUAGUCAUCACGUAAACCAUUUCAUGCCAUCUCUUUGAUAAAAUAUUUCAGCUGGAAAUAACUCCAUCACUGAAAGCAGUUGUUCAAGUUUAUUGGUGCAAACACAAUCCCCUGCAUAUUAUAAAACUUUUAAUAUCACUUUAUAAUAUAAAAGCUGCUUCUGAAAGUUGCUCCACAAAAACAGUGGCAUCAGUGUGGUGGUAGGGGGUGAAUGUAGAAAGCCAUUAGCUAACCUACCAUGUUAAUUCAAUAUCUCCUUCAAAACAAUAAGAGCAUUUUUACCUUUUUUGCAAUCAGGUGGAAGCCAGCAUGGGUUAGUGGUUUGAGCAUUGGACUAAGACUUUGGAAAUCAGUGUUCGAUUCCUCAUUCAGCCUUGGAAACGUACCUUGGCCCUAUGCUUGACAGAUUUCUAUCACUGAAAACAACAGGAAUGACCUAAAUACGGGAGCUGCCUGCUUCACACUUGACAAGAAAAAACAUAUCAGUCCUCAACUCUUCAUUUCAGCUAAAACUAUGCAUUGAAAAACCUUGUACUGUAUAUUUCAUGUAGCUCACAUAUUUCUGCAGUUCUGAGUGAGAAAGGACAUGGUGCCAUAUUUGCAAUCCAGCCUGUGAUUGCCCUUCAUCUACAUUCAUGAGCUAUCAUAAGGAAUUUCUUCUACAUGAUGGAUGUGAAGAGAGUGCUACAGUUUGCUUUAAGCAACAUCUCGCAAGCGUCUGAUUUGGUGUGCCAGAGCAUCCUCCUUUAUGUUCUCUUUGAUAUCAUCUUCCUUAUUGAUCCUGCAAGUCUAUACUGCUAAUUCACAAAUAUAUUUACUUCGGAGAAAAGCCCAAGCAGAAUCAACACCAGUUUGCACCCCUAUUGAACAUGCUUGGGCACUAAUUACUCUCUUUCUAACAAGGAUACAUUAUUUAAGGAAUGAGUGGCAUUUUAUUUUUAUUUCAUUUCAUUUUUAUGCUGUUUUUCAUUUUUUUUAAAAAAAACUUCAAAUAAUUUUAUGUUGAAAACAGACACAAUAA